ensembl:misc_RNA 7SK 7SK RNA
GGAUGUGAGGGCGGUUUGGCUGUGACAUCUGAUAGCUCACUGCUCAUCAGGGUUGAUUCGGUUUAUGUGGCUGGCGGACCCUUCCUCCCUCACUGUCCCAUGUAAGUCCCUCCCAAAGCUAUGUGAUUGGUCAAAGAAGACGACCAUGCCCAUUAGAUGAGGACCGGUCUUCGAUCUAGGGUAUACAAGUACCACUCCCCCGCUAGAACCUCCAAACAAGCUCUCUAGGCAGUAGGUUUGGAUGAUCAAGAGGUCAUGUGAAAGAUGUGGAACUUGAGGUGACCUGAUGUCCUCUACUGGAGUUGUCAGGUAGA